rnacentral:rRNA from 1 species
CCUACGGGUGGCUGCAGUGGGGAAUAUUGGACAAUGGGGGCAACCCUGAUCCAGCCAUGCCGCGUGUGUGAAGAAGGCCCUCGGGUUGUAAAGCACUUUCAGUGAGGAAGAACGCCUGGUGGUUAAUACCCAUCAGGAAAGACAUCACUCACAGAAGAAGCACCGGCUAACUCCGUGCCAGCAGCCGCGGUAAUACGGAGGGUGCGAGCGUUAAUCGGAAUUACUGGGCGUAAAGCGCGCGUAGGUGGCUUGAUAAGCCGGUUGUGAAAGCCCCGGGCUCAACCUGGGAACGGCAUCCGGAACUGUCAAGCUAGAGUGCAGGAGAAGAAGGUAGAAUUCCCGGUGUAGCGGUGAAAUGCGUAGAGAUCGGGAGGAAUACCAGUGGCGAAGGCGGCCUUCUGGACUGACACUGACACUGAGGUGCGAAAGCGUGGGUAGCAAACAGGAUUAGAUACCCCUGUAGUC